ensembl:snRNA
GUGUUGUAUGAAAGGAGAGAAGGUUAGCGCUCCCCUUGACAAGGAUGGAAGAAACUCUGGAGCCCGACAGCAUGCAUAUGGUCAAGGCAUUGCCACCUACUUCAUGGCAUCUAACCAUGGGGCUUU